AGGAAUGUGGCUUAGUGGUAGAGUGCUUGCCUAGCAUGCAUGAAGCCCUAGGUUCGAUUCCUCAGUACCA
rnacentral:tRNA from 1 species